UUAUUGAUCUUGUUAACAAUAUAUUCAAUACAACAAACGCCAAAAACGUUAAUAUUUUCUUUGGAGAGCUUCACAAUGAACUCUACGAUGAGUACA
rnacentral:sRNA from 1 species